rnacentral:misc_RNA from 1 species
AACGGUCGGCAGGCGAUCCGCGUCGGUCGUGCGAGGGUGGUAUGGUUCCCCCAGAGGCCGGUUCUUGUGCUGCCUACCCCUUCAGGGGAAUCGGGCCACUUGAUGUAAGCCUCCAUCCGGCGCCUUCCAACGGGCGCAGGAGGACAACAGGGCACCCCCCGCGUUCCACCGAUCCUCCUUGGUCGCGUGGCCCGCGGGGACGUGCGACGCUCUCGGACCCAGCGAACGCCGUGGGCGAGGACUCACGUCCCAGUCCCGAAAAGAAGCUCCGAUAUAAUGCAAGACGGCCGCUCCCGCCCCCCCGGGGGCGAGGCGCGGCGUCGCAGAGGAAUGC